AGCGUCGUAGCUCAGCUGGUAGAGCCUGUGCGUACAAAGCGUAGACGGCGUCCAUGUGCGGGUUCGAAUCCCACCGAAGCUA
rnacentral:tRNA from 1 species